rnacentral:rRNA from 1 species
UACGUAGGGGGCAAGCGUUGUCCGGAUUUAUUGGGCGUAAAGAGCGUGUAGGCGGCUUUACAGGUCCGUUGUGAAAACUCGAGGCUCAACCUCGAGACGCCGGUGGAAACCGUAAAGCUAGAGUCCGGAAGAGGAGAGUGGAAUUCCUGGUGUAGCGGUGAAAUGCGCAGAUAUCAGGAGGAACACCCGUGGCGAAAGCGGCUCGCUGGGACGGUACUGACGCUGAGGCGCGAAAGCGUGGGGAGCAAACAGG